CCAGAACAGAGUCGUGCUCCGCCACGAGGGCGACCACUCGUGGGAAGGACCGGAAGUUGGGGAAGGGACGGAGAGCAGAGAGGGGCCCCAAUCCCUUAUUCAAAACCUUCAGGGCCAGAACUGUUUUGGAAUUCACAAGUGUUUGGAUCUUAACAGGACAGUAAGCCCCUUGCCUGUGCCUUGGAGAUUGCUGCUGAGUUAACUUGGCCCUUCCUGCUGAUUGCAGUGGAUCUCUGCUCUUUGUGGGUUGUCCACCUCCAGAGGAUUGGCUCUAAAUCAGGGUAACCUCAGCCCAGGUGACUUCCCAUUGCAUUUAGAAGGAAGCUCAAACUCCUAAUUAGUGUCCACAAGACCUGGAACAUCUGAGCCUCAUUGCAUCUGACUCUUGUCCUUCUGCUCUUUUCCCUCACCCAUCCAUUCUGGCCUCACUGCCUGCCAUCAGUUUCUUGAUUGCACCAGAUUCUUCCCACUUCAGAGCCUUUGCUAGCACUUCUCCUUUUGCUAAAAUGCUCUUCCCCAAGUCAUUAUAUACUGGCUCCUUCUCACACCUGAGAGUUCAGAUUAAAGUUGACUUCAUCAGA